rnacentral:rRNA from 1 species
UAGGGAAUCUUCCACAAUGGACGCAAGUCUGAUGGAGCAACGCCGCGUGAGUGAAGAAGGUUUUCGGAUCGUAAAGCUCUGUUGUUGGUGAAGAAGGAUAGAGGCAGUAACUGGUCUUUAUUUGACGGUAAUCAACCAGAAAGUCACGGCUAACUACGUGCCAGCAGCCGCUGUAAUACGUAGGUGGCAAGCGGUGUCCGGAUUUAUUGGGCGUAAAGCGAGCGCAGGCGGAAUGAUAAGUCUGAUGUGAAAGCCCACGGCUCAACCGUGGAACUGCAUCGGAAACUGUCAUUCUUGAGUGCAGAAGAGGAGAGUGGAAUUCCAUGUGUAGCGGUGGAAUGCGUAGAUAUAUGGAAGAACACCAGUGGCGAAGGCGGCUCUCUGGUCUGCAACUGACGCUGAGGCUCGAAAGCAUGGGUAGCGAACAGG